GGUAACGGGUAACGGGGAAUUAGGGUUCGAUUCCGGAGAGGGAGCCUGAGAAACGGCUACCACUUCCAAGGAAGGCAGCAGGCGCGCAAAUUACCCAAUCCCGACACGGGGAGGUAGUGACAAUAAAUAACAAUACGGGGCUCUUUCGGGUCUCGUAAUUGGAAUGAGUACAAUUUAAAUCCCUUAACGAGGAACAAUUGGAGGGCAAGUCUGGUGCCAGCAGCCGCGGUAAUUCCAGCUCCAAUAGCGUAUAUUAAAGUUGUUGCAGUUAAAAAGCUCGUAGUUGAAUUUCGGGAUUGACGUGAUGGUCAUGCCUUAAGGGGUAUGAACUGUCACAGUUGAUUUCUCACCUUCUGGAGAAACCUGAUGUCCUUUAUUGGGUGUCUUGCGGAUCCAGGACCUUUACCUUGAAAAAAUUAGAGUGUUUAAAGCAGGCAUUUUUGCUCGAAUACAUUAGCAUGGAAUAAUAGAAUAGGACGGCAUGGUUCUAUUUUGUUGGUUUCUAGGAUCACCGCAAUGAUUAAUAGGGAUAGUUGGGGGCAUUAGUAUUCAAUUGUCAGAGGUGAAAUUCUUGGAUUUAUUGAAGACUAACUACUGCGAAAGCAUUUGCCAAGGAUGUUUUCAUUAAUCAAGAACGAAAGUUAGGGGAUCGAAGACGAUCAGAUACCGUCGUAGUCUUAACCAUAAACU
rnacentral:rRNA from 1 species